rnacentral:rRNA from 1 species
AUGAUUGGAUCAUCAUCGAUCAUCUCAUCUGAUGACGGCCCUCGAGUGCCUGAGGAUCAUGCUGAACGGCGGCGCCGGCGGGCGAACCCGGCGACCGCCGGUAGCCGUCGUUGUCGUCACGGUCGCCGCCGUCGCGCCCUUCUUCACCACCACCACCUGCCCCGUGCUGUCCCUCUUCCCCGUGCUCGUCUUCACCUUCUGAACAGCCGCCGGAGAAGCAGCAGCAGGAGACCGAGGAGGAGGGGCCGUGGCCGCCUUCGCCGGCGUCGUCGUCUUGGCCGCCGCGAGGGCAAACGCCUUCUCCAGCGUGUUGUUGCUGAUGGGAUUGGGCGUCGCCGCCGGCUUGCUCCUGCGGCUGGCGCCGGCGGGCACGUCGCCGCGGAGGCUGGACUCGAGCAGCAGCACGCCGGCGCAGUGCUUGAGCACCUCGAGGCUCACGCGCGCGCCGUCCAGGCACCGGAGCCCCCGCGCCCGCCGCGCGCCGAUCCCGAAGUGCUCCGCCAGGGCCGCCGCCGCCGCCUCCUCGUCCUCCUGGCCGUCGUCCCCGGCGCCGGCCGGCCCGAAGCACCCCUGCGCGCCCUGCGCGAGGAGCACGUCGAGGGAGUCGACGACGCCCACGGGCUCCGGCGCGGGCAGGCCGAAGGCGGCGAAGGCCCCGCGCACGCGCGGGCAGCCGGCGCGCCGGAUGCCGUGGCCCGCCCACACGCGGCCGUCCAGCAGCUCGAAGAUGUCCGGGAAGACGUCCUCGAACGAGGGCGCGGCGGAGGAGGCGGAGAGGACGCCACCGUCGGCGCCGGCGUCGUCCGGGCGGAUGAGGGUGGAGUAGCUGGAGACCUCGACGAGGCGGCGCGGGCAGACGAGGAUGGCGGCGAACUCCAGCAGGCGGCACUCGCCGGACGGCGGCGCCGCCUCCACGUCGAAGAACACCAUCUCCCUCUUCUUGGUGUUCGCCAUUGGUGGAGGUUUCUUGGCGGUGGAGCUCUGUUUGUUUCUUGCUUGUGGGAAUGGAUCAAUGGAGGAGAGGAGGGAUGGGAGAAGGGACGAUCUUGUCUUGUCGGAGGAGCCUGCGGUAUAUAUAAGCUUUGA